CUACGACGGAUACGGGUUGUGAGAGCAAUAACCCGGAGAUGAUAUCUGAGACACGAUAUCAGGCCCUACGGGGCGCAGCAGGCGCGAAAACUUCACACUGCGCGAAAGCGCGAUGAGGGGAUCCCAAGUGUACGCACGUAAGUGUAUACUGUUUUUAUGUCUAAAAAGCAUAUAGAGUAAGGGCUGGGUAAGACGGGUGCCAGCCGCCGCGGUAAUACCUGCAGCUCGAGUGGUGGCCGCUAUUAUUGGGCCUAAAACGUCCGUAGCCGGUCUUGUAAAUGCCUGGGUAAAUCGUGUAGCUUAACUAUACGAAUUCCGGGUAGACUGUAAGACUUGAGACCGGGAGAGGUUAGAGGUACUCCUGGG
rnacentral:rRNA from 1 species